UUUUUUGUUAUGGUUUUUGUUACAUUCUUUGACUAGUGUUAAAUAGUAAAGCCGCAAACUGAAUCUUAACGCAUUGAUCCGCCCUCUACCGAGGUACUUCAACAAUACAAAAAGCUUCAAUUCGCCAAAUAGUGCACAGUGUUGGAGAGUGGAGGUCAGGCCUCUCGGGUUAAAUCGAGAGCACCCUAAAAUUCACUAAUGAUCCUUCCGCAGGUUCACCUACGGAAA
rnacentral:misc_RNA from 1 species